rnacentral:rRNA from 1 species
UACGGGGGGAGCAAGCGUUGUUCGGAUUUACUGGGCGUAAAGGGCGCGUAGGCGGCGUGACAAGUCACUUGUGAAAUCUCCGGGCUUAACUCGGAACGGCCAAGUGAUACUGCAGUGCUAGAGUGCAGAAGGGGCAAUCGGAAUUCUUGGUGUAGCGGUGAAAUGCGUAGAUAUCAAGAGGAACACCUGAGGUGAAGACGGGUUGCUGGGCUGACACUGACGCUGAGUGCGCGAAAGCCAGGGGAGCAAACGGG